UCUUGGUUGAGAUCUGUCACUCUAGUUGUGACUUGUGAACCGGCUAUUGCAGGAACUAACUCCACUGUCGAAACAACGUAGCAGAAGGCAACAAGGAACAUAUGAAUUAACCCAUUGUUAUGGUUACGGCAGUCACAAGACCUAGAAGCGCUUCAGGAAUCUGAAUGAAACGUUUGCACUGCGGAGGUGGAGAACUGUAGGCAUUUGUGUAGUCACAAGCUAGUUAAGUACAGAUUGUUACUGUCAACGUGCUAACCUACAACAAGAUACGUUGAAGUGGUUGAAACGGAACUCAAGAAUAUGAAUGCAUCAUAAGCGAUAUAAUAAAGCUGACAAGAUUUAGGCGUUGUCGAAAGCAAUGAAAGGAAACCAAGGGGGAUGUGGUUUUUAUAUGGAAGCUGGAGAAAGCAAUAAGUGAAGCAGUUCAUGCAAGAUGUGAUGGCCUUUAGAUGAAAACAGCAGAUAAUGGAGAGGAGAAACCAAGAGUGACGAGAAGGCCUUAAAGACAUGGAAGCUGCAGAUAACAAGGAAUGGAGGAGACCAAGGACGACGGGAAGGCGUCGCCCGGUGGUAGCUGCAUGGAACAAUGAAGGGAGGAGACUAGAAAAGUAACACUUAUGAAAAUUUGAAGUGAGAUAAGCACAUCCUCAAGCCAAGAAAAGAAGGUUCCGAAACAUGCAAGUAGUAGAGAGAGAAGAAAAAGACCAGAAACAAGUAAGAGAGAAAAACAAAAAUGAAGCAAAUAGCAGCAGAGAAGAGAAGAACUACUUACAGGAAGCAGAGAAGAAAGAGCAGAAAAGGGAAGUAGAUAUAACAUAGGAAGUAGAGAAGAAAAGGAAAAUGGAAAUAACAUACAUAAAAAUUUUAACUAAAUUUUACUGUAAUAAUAAACUUGGAAAAUGAAAGUAUAACUCUCAGUAAAUUUUUAUUGUUGUUAUAACUGCUAGGCCAUGACUUAUUAUUACGUUUAAAGUAUAUUUUUAUAUACCUUUUUCAUUUAUCCCCACGAAUCUUGGGAAGGGCUCUUACAUGCACUACUAGAAUGUGGUGACCACUGUAAAGUUUUAGUAAUUCACUAUCCACAAGCACUAUCAAUACAAACCCUCUACUACACCCUCUACUACUCAUCAGGUCUUGCAGAACUAUGUCCACAAUUUAAUGUGACAGCUUUUUAAGUUUGUUUGUACAAACAUUCUGCAAUACCUGAUAGCAUAUGAUAGAGGAUUUGUAUUGAUACUGUUUGUGGAUGGUGAACCACCUGAGUUUUGUAGCAAUACUUCACAAUCUAGCAAUGCAUGUAGCCUUCCCAAUUCUUGUGGUCUUGUCUCAACAAUCACUUUGUGUAGCCUUCCCCAGAUUCUUGUCAGUGUGUAGAGCUCCCUUAAUUAUUGUGGUUUUAUCCUUCCCCAGAUUUUUGUCGUCUCCAACAAUCACUCUAGCACUCUCCUAACUCUUGUGGCUUUGUCAUCACAAAAAGUCACGCUGAAAGUCCAUGUCGGUGAUAUUCUACAUUUUUC